AAAAGGUGAAAACACGUAUACGCACAACCAAAACCCUCUUUUUCAAUCCUCUUCUUAACUCCAUUAUUCACAAAACAAUUUUUUUUUUAAUUUUUCUCAUUUUUCUGUAUUUUUUUUCCUUUUUUUUCCAUCUUGUCUCUCUUCUUUUCUCUCUUUUCAGAACACAACUCUAAGAGACAAGAUACACAAAAUAUUUACAAAACAAAACAAGAAGAGGAACCAACUAGCCAAUUCAUCUGAAUAUCCCAAGAGACCACACUUAUUCCCAAA
rnacentral:lncRNA from 1 species